rnacentral:tRNA from 1 species
GGCCUUGUGGCACAAUGGUAGAGCGUCUGACUCCAGAUCAGAAGGUUGUGUGUUUAACUCACAUCACGGUCA